AUCAGAAAUUCACAAGUGUCAGGAAGAAGCAAGACGUCUCACAGGGAAGCGUCAAAGGCAAUGCUGGAGACCAAGUGAAAUCAGAAAUUCACAAGUGUCAGGAAAAAGCAAGAAGUCUCACAGGGAGGCUUGAAGAGGCAAAGGCAACGCUGGAGACCAAGAAGAAACAGAACAACGGGCAGAAGACUGGGCAGGUUCUACACAGGGCAAGGACACUCUGGAAUAAUCUCUGUGAUGGGGAAGGACAGACAGGGAUCUGGUCUGGGUCAGUGGGGCCCACGAGGGAUGGGACCCCCCAACCCAGUCCCACCCUGCAUGGCUGUACUUGCUCCAUUCA